rnacentral:rRNA from 1 species
CUACGGGAGGCUCCAGUGGGGAAUAUUGGACAAUGGGGGAAACCCUGAUCCAGCAAUGCCGCGUGUGUGAAGAAGGCCUGCGGGUUGUAAAGCACUUUCGGUUGGGAGGACUGCUUCUAGCACUAAUAUUGUUGGAAGUUGACGUUACCUUCAGAAGAAGCACCGGCUAACUCCGUGCCAGCAGCCGCGGUGGAAUACGGAGGGUGCAAGCGUUAAUCGGAAUUACUGGGCGUAAAGCGCGCGUAGGCGGCUAGAUCAGUCGGGUGUGAAAGCCCCGGGCUUAACCUGGGAACUGCAUCCGAUACUGUCUAGCUUGAGUACAGGAGAGGAGAGUGGAAUUCCACAUGUAGCGGUGAAAUGCGUAGAUAUGUGGAGGAACACCAAUGGCGAAGGCAGCUCUCUGGCCUGAUACUGACGCUGAGGUGCGAAAGCGUGGGGAGCAAACAGGAUUAGAUACCCCAGUAGUC